rnacentral:rRNA from 1 species
CCUACGGGUGGCUGCAGUGGGGAAUAUUGCACAAUGGGCGAAAGCCUGAUGCAGCAACGCCGCGUGAGCGAUGAAGGUCUUCGGGUCGUAAAGCUCUGUCCUAAGGGAAGAAUACUGACGGUACCUUGGGAGGAAGCCCCGGCUAACUACGUGCCAGCAGCCGCGGUAAUGCGUUGGGGGCUAGCGUUAUCCGGAAUUACUGGGCGUAAAGGGUGCGUAGGCGGCCCUUCAAGUCAGAGGUGAAAGGCUACGGCCCAACCGUAGUAAGCCUUUGAAACUGUAGGGAUUGAGUGCAGGAGGGGGGAGUGGAAUUCCCAGUGUAGCGGUGAAAGGCGUAGAUAUUGGGAGGAACACCAGUUGCGAAGGCGGCUCUCUGGACUGUAACUGACGCUGAGGAACGAAAGUGUGGGGAGCGAACAGGAUUAGAUACCCGGGUAGUC